rnacentral:sRNA from 1 species
GGGGGAGGGAGGGGGGGGAGGACGGAUGGCCGCUGUUCCUCCCUCCGGUGCUGAAGUCAGCCCCACCCCAGGACGAAGGGAGGGGUGUCCCUCCAGGCGGGAGAGGCCCCCUGGAGGCUCCCAGGAAGCCCCACCCCCGCCCUGGCGCAAUCCGGCCGCCCGGGGCGCUGUCCGCCCCGUCGAGUGCUGAAACUCCCUGCUCUGCGGGUCUCGGGAUGGAGAGCCCAACCGGGCCCCGCAACGGGGAGGCAGGGGAGAGGCAGGGAGAACUUUCUUUCUUUCUCUCUUUAGUGAGUUCUCAUCUCUUCCCACCCCAAGAUAGUCAAGAUUUUGGGUGGGAGCAUAGCGAUGGCAUUGGGCUUGCUUUUUCUAAAUCUUAAAAGAUUUUGGGCUGAGUGGGGAUCGUGGCGUCUACCAGAUGCCCACCUGUCGGAGGCCACCAGGCAACCCUGUCCUGGGGCGACCCCACACCUCACUGCACCAGGACCUGAGGUCGCUCCCGAGACCAGGCUUCCAUCCUGGGCCAAGGGCCUUCAAGUCUCCAGGAACCUCUGGAUUUUUGGUGCUGGCUUGGUGACGACUGAGACAACUCAAGGACCAGGCAGCUACCAGAUUCCCAGCCUCACAGUGAAAUUUCAGAGUCUGGGAACUGCUUGAGUCCACCGGAGAGCAACUGUCCAACACUGCCACCUCCUGCUCACAUUGGGAAACAGCCUUUCACGGAUGCGUCCUCUGCAUCCCUUGGAAGGAGGAAGAGUGUAGAAACUUUUUUUUCUGGAGAAGCAACUGGUGCUGCGUUGGGACAUAUGUUUAACACAUUGGAUUUCGGAAUCAGACAAAGUGUGCCUGUUGCCUACUCUGCCACCUACCUGCUUCUCCUGUGACGAGUGAUUUCACCCGUGCGAGCCUCAGACCCCAGGGGACUGCAUCAGACAGUGAACAAUGUCUGUACAAUGUCUGCACAGCUCACAGAGAGGGCUUGCAGAGGCCGGAGAAGCCAAACCAUCGCUCAACAGCCAGGAACGAGGAAAACUGUAACACACUUAUUGAAGUGCCAUGAGCAAUCAUCCAUUUCUGCUGUGACAUCACGAUGCUUACCCA